rnacentral:rRNA from 1 species
GGUUGACCUCGGAUGCAGGUAGGGAUACCCGCUGAACUUAAGCAUAUCAAAAAGCGGAGGAACGCUGAACUUAA